GAUGAACGCUGGCGGCGUGCCUAAUACAUGCCUGUCGAGCGAACGGACGAGAAGCUUGCUUCUCUGAUGUUAGCGGCGGACGGGUGAGUAACACGUGGAUAACCUACCUAUAAGACUGGGAUAACUUCGGGAAACCGGAGCUAAUACCGGAUGAUAUUUUGAACCGCAUGGUUCAAAAGUGAAAGACGGUCUUGCUGUCACUUAUAGAUGGAUCCGCGCUGCAUUAGCUAGUUGGUAAGGUAACGGCUUACCAAGGCAACGAUGCAUAGCCGACCUGAGAGGGUGAUCGGCCACACUGGAACUGAGACACGGUCCAGACUCCUACGGGAGGCAGCAGUAGGGAAUCUUCCGCAAUGGGCGAAAGCCUGACGGAGCAACGCCGCGUGAGUGAUGAAGGUCUUCGGAUCGUAAAACUCUGUUAUUAGGGAAGAACAUAUGUGUAAGUAACUGUGCACAUCUUGACGGCACCUAAUCAGAAAGCCACGGCUAACUACGUG
rnacentral:rRNA from 1 species